UUCGGAGGUAGUAUAUAAAGUACUUCUGUCUUACACACAGGUGGUGUCGGAUGAAAUCGGCUCUCUGAU
rnacentral:tRNA from 1 species